rnacentral:rRNA from 1 species
GCAAGAUUAAAACUCAAAUGAAAUAGACGGGGGCCCCGCACAAGCGGUGGAGCAUGUGGUUUAAUUCGAUGCAACGCGAAGAACCUUACCUACUCUUGACAUCCAGAGAACUUUCCAGAGAUGGAUUGGUGCCUUCGGGAACUCUGAGACAGGUGCUGCAUGGCUGUCGUCAGCUCGUGUUGUGAAAUGUUGGGUUAAGUCCCGCAACGAGCGCAACCCUUAUCCUUGUUUGCCAGCGAGUAAUGUCGGGAACUCCAGGGAGACUGCCGGUGAUAAACCGGAGGAAGGUGGGGACGACGUCAAGUCAUCAUGGCCCUUACGAGUAGGGCUACACACGUGCUACAAUGGCGCAUACAGAGGGCGGCCAACUUGCGAAAGUGAGCGAAUCCCAAAAAGUGCGUCGUAGUCCGGAUUGGAGUCUGCAACUCGACUCCAUGAAGUCGGAAUCGCUAGUAAUCGUGGAUCAGAAUGCCACGGUGAAUACGUUCCCGGGCCUUGUACACACCGCCCGUCCCCCCAUGGGAGUGGGCUGCAAAAGAAGUAGUAUGAGUUUAACCUUUGGGGCGACGC